rnacentral:misc_RNA from 1 species
UGGAUGAUGGGAUAGGACUU